UAGCAUCGGUCCACUAAACACCGACGCUUGAAGUGUUGUUUUUAGCGACGCCACGUCUUUAUGCGUAGUAACAGAUAUUUUGCUGUAGAAUCAAUUAGUCAUACCUCCCUGAGAGAAUCAUUUAGAAGAUAUAUAAUUUCUUUCAUCCUGAUUUCUCGAUCUCAAUUGCUAAUUUUGGAGGAAUCUCAAUUACUAAUCUCGACUGGCGAUUCGCUAAUCUCUAAUCUCGACCGCUACUCUGUUGUGCUCUCUGUUGUACUUUGCUUGUUCUUUCCUGGGAUUGCUAGGUUUCAAUUUGUCCGGUUGUGAAAUUAGGGUUCUUUGUUGGGUUUCUAGUAUGUGAAAUUAGGGUUCUUUGUUGGGUUUCUGGUAAAUCUCAAGAACAGGGGUCCUUUUACUUGCCAAAUCAGGCGUAUCACUUUGGUAAUCACCUGGCACCUCAAUCUCCACAGCAGCAGCUUCACAGCCUCCUAGGUCAUCAAAUCUCAGUACCCAAACUCGAACCGGGUAGACGCAACCUAACUUUGCAGAUUUUAAUUCGAUAGUUUGGCAUCAUCCAACAACAGUCUCGAUUUUGUCAGGUUUUAUAAUUGAGAAGGUAGCAGCUUUUGUUGAAAUCCAUGAUAUUGCUGGGCUUGUUAAAGGUGCUCAUGAAGGUCAAGGACUUGGGAACAAUUUUUUGUCUCACAUCCGUGCAGUUGAUGGCAUUUUCCAUGUCUCGCGGAUCAAAGGCCACCUCUUACUUUUUCCUCACUGGUUCAGUUUAUCUUGCUGGCACUUGUUGGAAUCACUGCAAUAACCUUUGUCAUGGCUUCUGAUCUAAGGCAAUAUUAAAUAAUAAAAAAGGUUAAAAUUAUGAGGAUGGAUGGCUUGGCCAAAAUUCUUGGAACAAAUGCUAGCAUAGGAGGUGCAACAAUCAUUACCCUGUGUAAAGGUCCUCCUCCGCUACACAACCAGCAGUCACAGCAACCACUAGAAAUUCAUUCCCUAGCCAAUAAAACAUAGAACUAUACGUGGGGUUGUAUAUACAUUCUUGGACACUUCUUAUCAUGGGCUGGUUGGAUGGUGUUUGAGGCUCCAGUGGUGAGGAAGUAUCAAGCUAAACUAUCACUGACAUCAUUUACAUGCUUUUUUUGACUGACUACUUCUGUUCUUAAUAAUAGCAGCCUUUUUCGAAAGGGAUCCCAAUAAUCGGCAAAUCAAGUCAGGGGAGGAAAUGUUAUAUGCUGUAAGUGCUUUUGUAACAUCAUAUACGUGUGUAUUAUUCAUUUGAAUAUAUACAUGUAAUAAAUUACUAUUAUGAAAGAAUCAUGGUUGUAGUAUGGUUUCAUUGUACACUUCAGAUGAUGUAAUUGCAAAUUCCUAAUUUAAUUUGUUUUAUUUAAGUUUAA